GACGAACGCUGGCGGCGUGCUUAACACAUGCAAGUCGAGCGGUAAGGCCCCUUCGGGGGUACACGAGCGGCGAACGGGUGAGUAACACGUGAGCAAUCUGCCCUUCACACGGGGAUAACUUCGGGAAACCGAAGCUAAUACCCGAUACGACCACUUCAGGCAUCUGAUGGUGGUGGAAAGUUCCGGCGGUGAAGGAUGAGCCCGCGGCCUAUCAGCUUGUUGGUGGGGUAGUGGCCUACCAAGGCAACGACGGGUAGCCGGCCUGAGAGGGUGACCGGCCACACUGGGACUGAGACAGAGCCCAGACUCCUACGGGAGGCAGCAGUGGGGAAUAUUGGACAAUGGGCGAAAGCCUGAUCCAGCAACGCCGCGUGAGGGAUGACGGCCUUCGGGUUGUAAACCUCUUUCAGCAGGGACGAAGCGCAAGUGACGGUACCUGCAGAAGAAGCACCGGCCAACUACGUGCCAGCCGCCGCAGUAAGAC
rnacentral:rRNA from 1 species